rnacentral:rRNA from 1 species
AUUGAACGCUGGCGGCAUGCUUUACACAUGCAAGUCGAACGGCAGCGCGGGCUUCGGCCUGGCGGCGAGUGGCGAACGGGUGAGUAAUGCAUCGGAACGUGCCCAGUAGUGGGGGAUAGCCCGGCGAAAGCCGGAUUAAUACCGCAUACGACCUGAGGGUGAAAGCGGGGGACCGAAAGGCCUCGCGCUAUUGGAGCGGCCGAUGUCGGAUUAGCUAGUUGGUGGGGUAAAGGCUUACCAAGGCGACGAUCCGUAGCUGGUCUGAGAGGACGACCAGCCACACUGGGACUGAGACACGGCCCAGACUCCUACGGGAGGCAGCAGUGGGGAAUUUUGGACAAUGGGGGCAACCCUGAUCCAGCCAUGCCGCGUGCGGGAAGAAGGCCUUCGGGUUGUAAACCGCUUUUGUUCGGGAAGAAAUCCUCUGGGCUAAUACCCCGGGGGGAUGACGGUACCGGAAGAAUAAGCACCGGCUAACUAC